rnacentral:rRNA from 1 species
AUUGAACGCUGGCGGCAUGCCUUACACAUGCAAGUCGAACGGCAUCGCGGGAAAGCUUGCUUUCCUGGCGGCGAGUGGCGAACGGGUGAGUAACACAUCGGAACGUACCGGCUAGUGGGGGAUAACCCGUCGAAAGACGGGCUAAUACCGCAUACGCUCUUCGGGGGAAAGCAGGGGACCUUUGGGCCUUGCGCUAGCCGAGCGGCCGAUGUCCGAUUAGCUAGUUGGUGGGGUAAAGGCCUACCAAGGCGACGAUCGGUAGCGGGUCUGAGAGGACGAUCCGCCACACUGGGACUGAGACACGGCCCAGACUCCUACGGGAGGCAGCAGUGGGGAAUCUUGGACAAUGGGGGCAACCCUGAUCCAGCAAUGCCGCGUGGGUGAAGAAGGCCUUCGGGUUGUAAAGCCCUUUCGGCAGGGAAGAAAUCGGCGGGGCGAAUAACCCUGCUGGAUGACGGUACCUGCAGAAGAAGCACCGGCUAACUACGUG